CUUGCAAGUUCUUGUUCUCCCUCUUGAAGGUCUCUAGGUGCUCCAGCGACUCCUCGUAGGCGUUCUUCAGCUUGAAGAGCUCGGUGCUGAGAGAACGGGCCUCCUUCUGCGACGACUCCAGCUCCGUCUGGGACUCCUCAUACUUCUGCUUCCACUCUGACAGGAGCUGCGGUGGGUGAUGGAGAAGCGGAGAGAGUAAGGUUUGAGAAUAGCUAUUUCUUGAGGCACUCCUAGGCCCGCUGCUCCCAACAACGAGCAAACGGACGCCCUUGAAGCCAAGCCGUUGUGGCGUACUGGUUAAAGUGAGUUAAGAGCAUGUGGCGCAGACGUGAGCUGAGCUUCACAAGCGUCCAGUACGGCCCAGUAUCCCCACCAAGCAGAACUGGGGUACCCACAGCUGUCCCCAACCCAUCCCUUCCGGAUCAUUCCCUCCACUUUUCCCACCGUACUUUGUCGAAGUUCCUCUGCUUCUUGUCCAGGGCAGCUGCGGCCGCGUUUGAGCGCUCCACGUCCACCAUGAGGUCUUCGAUCUCGUUCUGCAGGCGGUGCUUGGUCUUCUCCAGCGAGGAGCACUUGGCGUUCACGGCCUCCACCGCCUCUUCGGCGUCUUGCAGGCGCUGCGCCAGCUUCUUCCUGACACACAAAUGGGGCAGGGUGACAGGUGCCAUAAGCCAAUAGAAGGAGCCCAAACCCAUGACAAGGAAGGGCUUAAUGAAAGGAGAUAAUCAGAAGGGGCUCACCCCUCCUGCUUUGCUUAAAAUAACAACUCCUCCGGGGGAAUUAAAUUCAGGCUGGAGUCAAAAGUGUCCAGGCCCAAUUCAAGGAGCUCGUAGUGGCGUUUAAAACCUAGGCCACUUAGGCCUCAAGAAAGAUGGCCUCCGUCCCUAAAGACUCUCUCAGGUGUUGAGAUUGGCAGACCCCUUGGUACUUGGUCUACCCUCUAAAAUGCAGGGCAAGAACUUUCUCUGUGGCAGCCCUUAAGCCAUUGAAUUCCCUCCUCACAGAGCCCAGCAUCUUCAAUGUACGGCUUUCGCUGUACACACCUCUUUACUUUCGCCUAUUUUGUUUUACGAGACCCAUUUCUUUUGCUGAAUCGACUGUCCUGUUUUCGGCUGGGACGGUUUUACCGUUCUACGUGUUUUUGUUGUUUCAAUUGCAUUUCCCCCCUUUACAGUCAUACCUCUUGUUACGUUUGCUUCAGGUUAAAUAUUUUCAGGUUGCGUCCUGCGGCAACCCGGAAGUACCGGAAAGGGUUACUUCCGGGUUUCGCCGCUCACGCAUGCGCAGACGCUCAAAAUGACAUCACACGCAUGCGCAGAAGCGGCGAAUCGCGACCCACGCAGACGCGGGUUGCAUUCUGCUCAUGUUGCGAAUGGGGCUCCGGAACGGAUCCCGUUUGCAACCAGAGGUACCACUGUAUUGGCUAUUGCAUUGUUUCAACUUGAACAUACAAGGGUGAGAAAGGGUGGGUGGUGCAACAGGCCUGUGGUUGUGAGGUGAGGCGAGUUGUGGGUCUCAUUGCCCUCCGCCCCACUUACUUGGCUUCCUCCAGCUCCUCCGUCCUCUGGAUGGCAUCAGUCUCGUACUUGGUCCUCCACUGUGCCACCUCGGAAUUGGCCUUCGACAGCGAGCGCUGAAGCUCCGCUUUGGCCUCCGUUUCUUCCUCAUACUGCUCCCUCAUAAGGUCGCAGUCAUGGCGGGCUGACUGCAGCGCAUGCGCCAGAGCAUUCUUGGCCUGAGGGGAAGGGAACAGCCACGUGGCCUCAGUGACCGUCAGUCCUGACAGGACCAGUAUCUACCCUUCGCGUUGAGUCCUGUGGACUUCCUUCCCAAACCUCUUUGCGUCCUCCUUACCUUAGCUUCUUCUUCCAGUUGCCUCUUCAGAUCUUCCAGUUGCUGGGUGUACGUCAGCUUCCCUCGCGUCAGCUGGUUGAUCAAAGCAUCCUUCUCAUCCAUCUGGCGGGAUAAUUCACCUAGGGAGAAGAGUUGGGGCGGAGGAAUCCAUUAUCUCCGGGAGUUUUGUCAUCGGAAUCGGCAGCCAUGUUGAACAGGGACCCCACAGGCUGACAGUGUCUGUCUCUACACGCUUCUCUUCAGAAAAUGCUCUGCAGAGGGUGCCAUCGAAGAUGAACACCAAAUUAG